rnacentral:rRNA from 1 species
AGUGAACGCUGGCGGUAGGCCUAACACAUGCAAGUCGAACGGCAGCACAGUAAGAGCUUGCUCUUACGGGUGGCGAGUGGCGGACGGGUGAGGAAUACAUCGGAAUCUGCUUUUUCGUGGGGGAUAACGUAGGGAAACUUACGCUAAUACCGCAUACGACCUACGGGUGAAAGCAGGGGAUCUUCGGACCUUGCGCGAUUGAAUGAGCCGAUGUCGGAUUAGCUAGUUGGCGGGGUAAAGGCCCACCAAGGCGACGAUCCGUAGCUGGUCUGAGAGGAUGAUCGGCCACACUGGAACUGAGAAACGGUCCAGCCUCCUACGGGAGGCAGCAGUGGGGAAUAUUGGACAAUGGGCGCAAGCCUGAUCCAGCCAUACCGCGUGGGUGAAGAAGGCCUUCGGGUUGUAAAGCCCUUUUGUUGGGAAAGAAAAGCAGCAGGUUAAUACCCCGCUGUUCUGACGGUACCCAAAGAAUAAGCACCGGCUAACUUCGU